rnacentral:rRNA from 1 species
UACGAAGGGGGCUAGCGUUGCUCGGAAUUACUGGGCGUAAAGCGCACGUAGGCGGCUUUUUAAGUCGGAGGUGAAAUCCUGGAGCUCAACUCCAGAACUGCCUUCGAUACUGAAGAGCUCGAGUCCGGGAGAGGUGAGUGGAACUGCGAGUGUAGAGGUGAAAUUCGUAGAUAUUCGCAAGAACACCAGUGGCGAAGGCGGCUCACUGGCCCGGUACUGACGCUGAGGCGCGAAAGCUCGGGGAGCGAACGGG